rnacentral:lncRNA from 1 species
CUCACUGAGUCCCACGCCUCCACAUUAUCUCACUGAGUCCCAAGCCUCCACAUUAUCUCACUGAGUACCAAUCCUCCAAAUUAUCUCACUGAGUACCAAUCCUCCAAAUUAUCUCACUGAGUCCCAAAUCUCCACAUCAUCUCACUGAGUCUCAAUCAUUCACAUCAUCUCACUGAGUCCCACGCCUCCACAUCAUCUCUCUCACUGCACAGCAUAUCAAAUUCGACCAGGCCCAGACAUCAGACAUAUCCAAGGUUAAGACCAGGGCCCAGACAUCAGACAUAUCCAAGGUUAAGACCAGGGCCCAGACAUCAGACAUUUCCAAGGUUAAGACCAGGGCCCAGACAUCAGAAAUUUCCAAGGUUAAGACCAGGGCCCAGACAUCAGACAUAUCCAAGGUUAAGACCAGGGCCCAGACAUCAGACAUAUCCAAGGUUAAGACCAGGGCCCAGACAUCAGACAUAUCCAAGGUUAAGACCAGGGCCCAGACAUCAAGGCAGAUCCAGAGGAUACAUUCAACAUCUGUCACUUCAAUGCACCUCAAUGCACAAUCAAUCCCAUCCUUCCCUUCACCGUGACAACUCAGACAGUGGAGAAAGAGAAAGAGAGAGAGAGAAAGAGAGAGAGAGAGAGAGAGAGACAGAGAGAGAAAAAAAUCUAAUAUUUGGGCAGGGCAGGCAACGUUCCUUUUUAACACUUUAGACUUAAUAGCUGUGUCAUUCUGACCAAGAAGUGUACGGAAUGGAAAUCACCUCUCUUCAUGUCUUUGCUGUGUGUGUAAUACCAUAGCUUUCAAUGGCGUUUUGGAAAAACUAUCUAUCGAUUUCAAGUCCAGGUCUGUGUCUCGUCCGGCUGAAAUUACCUUUUUUUCAUCGAUUCUUUUGAUUUGAAGCUAAUUGCUAAAAAAUACUAGACAUUUUGAAAUAGUCAACAGAGAUGGGCACUUAGAGAACUAGACGUUUUGAAGGAGUCAACAGAGGGCACUUCCAGAACAUGCGGUAUGUUCAGCUCAACCUACCCAGUGUUGGUGAGGGGGCUGUGAUUGUGAUU